GGGGCUGUAAUGGAUUUCGACAGGUUUAUGUUUGAUUCGGGCUGCAGUGGACUGGUGACCAUAUCACCGCUUAAAUUUAAACGCUAACAGAAACAAUAGUUUCGCAUUCGCUGCUUAAUCUUACGCAAUAACGCGUCGCAGCGACCCGGCUGUACUUUAGCCGUUAUGUACAUGCUGCGUAAAUAAACGGAUACGGUGAUCCUGAUGUCUGUAGGGUGAUCCCGACAAUUUACAGACAAAUUCAGCCGACGGUUAGCUCACUGACAUGUCUGCUGUCUUAUACAACAGUGGGAUAAACUGUAGACGCCUGAAUGUGGGACGACUCUUGGACAGGGGUUCGACUCCCCUCAGCUCCAC
rnacentral:tmRNA from 1 species